AUGUGUUAAUAGCACACUAUAUCCCAUCCUACUGUAUUUGAACUUCCUGUGAAAACAAUAGCCUGUGGUGAAACAGCUUGUCAUGGAUACUAAUGAAAAAUUGCCCAAGAUAUCCUGAUGGGAAUCCUCCUACAUUCACUCUGCCCCCGAGGUCUGGGAAUUCACUGAACACAAAACGCUGCCAGCCGUGGUAGAGUAAACUGAAGGAGUUUGUAGUCACAAAGGACUUGCACAUGUCAAGUUACUGAUGAGCUCAGAAGAAGUGAGGUACCGUGAGGAAUGUUGAGAAAACUACAGAAAUAAAAUGGAGAUAACCUGAGGCAAUGGAGAUCAACUUGCAGUUAUACAAUUAACGAAUCAUCCAUCUGUCCAAGAUGACUCCCACUACAUAAAGUGACGGUAGGAGAUGUGGAUACGGAGAUGUAUGAAAAACCCAGAGCUGCCACCCCAACUUCUUUCCCCUACAACCACCUGCUCUUUCAACUCAAGGGAAAGUGGACUAAGUCAUUCUCGUCAUAGAAUCACAUUCUCUAAAUCAUGCACGAGUGUCAGGAAUUAGAAGAACUAAAAGAAUAAAUAAAAUUUGG